AGUGAACGCUGGCGGUAGGCCUAACACAUGCAAGUCGAACGGCAGCACAGUAAGAGCUUGCUCUUACGGGUGGCGAGUGGCGGACGGGUGAGGAAUACAUCGGAAUCUACUUUUUCGUGGGGGAUAACGUAGGGAAACUUAUGCUAAUACCGCAUACGACCUACGGGUGAAAGCAGGGGAUCUUCGGACCUUGCGCGAUUGAAUGAGCCGAUGUCGGAUUAGCUAGUUGGCGGGGUAAAGGCCCACCAAGGCGACGAUCCGUAGCUGGUCUGAGAGGAUGAUAAGCCACACUGGAACUGAGACACGGUCCAGACUCCUACGGGAGGCAGCAGUGGGGAAUAUUGGACAAUGGGCGCAAGCCUGAUCCAGCCAUACCGCGUGGGUGAAGAAGGCCUUCGGGUUGUAAAGCCCUUUUGUUGGGAAAGAAAAGCAGCAGGUUAAUACCCCGCGGUUCUGACGGUACCCAAAGAAUAAGCACCGGCUAACUUCGUG
rnacentral:rRNA from 1 species